CGAGCGCACCCACGUCCUUAGUUGCCAUCAUUCAGUUGGGCACUCUAGGGAGACUGCCGGUGAUAAGCCGCGAGGAAGGUGUGGAUGACGUCAAGUCCUCAUGGCCCUUACGGGAUUGGCUACACACGUGCUACAAUGGCGGUGACAGUGGGACGCGAAGGAGCGAUCUGGAGCAAAUCCCCAAAAGCCGUCUCAGUUCGGAUUGCACUCUGCAACUCGAGUGCAUGAAGGCGGAAUCGCUAGUAAUCGUGGAUCAGCAUGCCACGGUGAAUACGUUCCCGGGCCUU
rnacentral:rRNA from 1 species